rnacentral:rRNA from 1 species
AAUAUAAUAAAGACAUAAUGUUGCCUUAAGAUGAGCUUAUGUAGGAUUAGGUUGUUGGUGAGGUAAAGGCUUACCAAGCCGAUGAUCCUUAGUUGAUCUGAGAGGAUGAUCAGCCACACUGGGACUGAGAUAAGGCCCAGGCUUAGUUGCCAGCAGUGAGGAAUAUUGGACAAUGGGCGAAAGCUUGAUCCAGUAAUAUUGCGUGAAUGAGGAAAGCAAUAAAGGUUUAGGCGAAAGUUUAAAUCGGUUGUAAAGUUCUUUCGUUAGUGAGGAUAGUGACUGUAACUAGAGAAGAAAUCCCGGCUAACUUCGUGCCAGCAGCCGCGGUAAUACGAAGGGGGUGAGCGUUAUCCGAAAUGAUUGGGCGUAAAGGGUUCGUAGACAGUAAUUGUUGUUGUGUGUGAAAUUUUAAUCUUGUUAAAAAUGCAUCCGAUACUCUUUUACUUGAGUAUAUUAGGAGAUAACAGAAUUUUAAAAGUAAGAGUGAAAUCUUUAGAGAUUUAAAGGAAUGUCAGUGGCGAAGGCGGUUAUCUAUAAUAUAUACUGACGUUGAGGAACGAAAGCAUGGGGAGCAAACAGGAUUAGAUACCCUGGUAGUCCAUGCUGUCAAUUAUGAAUGCUGACAUUGGGAUUCAUUUUCUGGUGUUAAGUUAACACGUUAAGCAUUCCGCCUGGGGAGUACGAUCGCAAGAUUGGAACUCAAAGGAAUUGACGGGAAUCUAUACAAGUGGUGGAGCAUGUGGUUUAAUGCGAUAGUACGCGCGAAAUCUUACCA